CAUGUCUUUCUCAUUAUCUGAAGGUGUAACUUGGGUCUGAAGAAAUGGGUGGCCUUAGUUUCAGAAGCAGUACCUGUCUUCUAUGUCCAUAGGGUGUUGUCCUUGAUGUUGUGGUCAGGUGUGAUAUGACUGAGACUGCCAAAUUAGUCUGUGACUGCUGCAAAUAAUGAUGGGAAACAGGAGUUCAAACCUGGAUGCCCUCCACUGGUCUUCUUGCUUACCUUUCUUGUGGACACACAGCAGUGAGGGAGGACAGAAGAAGGCAGAACUCCUGACCCUCCUAGGAGCAAGAUCUAGACAUAGAAAUUGCUUCUGCUCUCCAGGCAGGCUGCCAGCCCAGUUCCAAGAUUUCCCAGCUGCUGCCGUUCAGACUUGCUUCAGCAUUUGUCAGGGAUGAGUGACUUCGGAGUCUGGGUCCUUGCCAAACCACCCUAGGCAGCUCAUUGCACUAAUCCAAAACUGUAAUUGGGAGGUAGGAGGGGGCAGUGGGAGAACGUCUUAUCCCCACCACAGCCCUGAGUUUUUGUUAACUUAGGAUUAUAAGAAUAAUGAACAAACUCAGAAGCCUGUCUCCUUUAUUUAGUUAGUUUUGGGGCUGUAGCUAGCAAUCCAUUAUUGUCUGUGCGAUGUGUUCCCAGUCCAGCCUCUUAUCAGAGGUGUUUAGCUAUGCAGUGCACAUAAGGAUGCCCAUCGGUAUUGAUAUAUAGAUUCCCAGCACAUCCAUUGUGUUUUACAUGCCUUGCAAUUAGCUUUUGCUUUAUCUACUGUGUGCCUACCUCGCUGUACGUGUGCCAGGAAAAAGAAGAGUCACACUGGGAGGGGAGGACUAGUAGGGCUGAAGAAUUACUGAGGGAAAGUGGAAAGCAAUUUGCAAUCUGAUAAAAGCAAUGUAGGGCCAGAUCCUGCCAAAUGCUGAUGCUGUGGGGAGCAGCUGUACCUCUGCAAUACCCGGGAUGAAGCCUGCUGUAGUGAAGCAAUACUGGGUGGAAAGCAAUAUAAGGUGGAAAGAUGUGGUGUGCAGCUUGGAGCAAUACUGCAAACCUCAUGAAGCAGUGCUGGCAUGCUACAGCGAUCAGAGGGCUAGCAGAAGGAAAGAGACAUGAAAAAAAAAAUGGAGAAGACAUGGAAUAUAUUCUGAUGCUCUAAAACACUGUGAAUUUAGUCCACAGCAGGUUGCAUCAGAGGAGGCAAAUAGCUCAGCCUGAUCCAAGGGGUCACUACCAGCUCCUUCACAGUCACUGCAGAUUUUUUCUGCAGACUGUACUCCCUCCUCCAGCCAUGAGAGCACCAGGUUUCCCUUACAUGGGUCACUUAUUGUAGCUGUGGGUCCUUAGGGACUCUGCUAGCAGGUCUUCCAAGUGACUCCAGCCUCUCAUGCUGGGGUCAGCUUGCUGUUUUCUUGCUUCUAUGCAGGAGCACCUGGAAGAGGCAUGGAUACAGGCAGGCAGUGUCUGGGCACAUGGCUCCUCUCAAUCCAGGCCCUUCCUUAUAUAGUGUCGCAUGCACACUGUGCUCAGUGGGAUGAACUGAGACGUACGAGGAACGGCUGAGGGCACUGGGCCUGUUCAGCCUGGAGAAGAGGAGGCUGAGGGGAGACCUCAUCGCAGUCUACAACUUCCUCGUAAGGGGGUGUCGAGAGGCAGGAGACCUUUUCUCCAUUAACACCAGCGACAGGACCCGCGGGAAUGGAGUUAAGCUGAGGCAGGGGAAGUUUAGGCUGGACAUCAGGAAGGGGUUCUUCACAGAGAGAGUGGUUGCACACUGGAACAGGCUCCCCAGGGAAGUGGUCACUGCACCGAGCCUGACUGAAUUUAAGAAGAGAUUGGACUGUGCACUUAGUCACAUGGUCUGAACUUGGGUAGACCUGUGCGGUGUCAAGAGUUGGACUUGAUGAUCCUUAAGGGUCCCUUCCAACUCAGGAUAUUCUAUGAUUCUAUGAUUCUAACUAGAUAUCACUAAAAAAAUCCAGGCUUUGCUUAUGAUUGGUACUGUCAGAUUCAGGUUGCAGUUUCACAGGCAUAGUCCAAUGCAUGACAUUUAUCCAAGAGUCUACCACCAGAUUCUUAUUGAGGUAUAAAACCCAGUGGACUCCAAGGAGUUUGAUGUCAGUUGAGGAUCUGGCUGGCAGCCUAGCCUCUGCUAAGAGAUCCACCCUGUGAUCUGUACUGGAGUGCUCAGAUUGCUUCUGGGGGUAACACUUGCUCAUUUAAAUCUGGCUUAAGACCCUUCGUGAUGCACUGAAGUCCUGGAAGAGAAAUGGGUUGUAUUUUGAAGAUAAUUAAGGCUUGCUCCAAAGCCUCUGUCAAUUAUGCUUAGCGAUAAAUACAUUGUGGAUGAUGUUGUUUGAACAUUUCUGCUCUCCUCUUUUCUCCCAGGUGAUUAGCACAAGGGACCUGGAAAGGUUCAGGGCAUGGUGCUGGGAGAAUCCCCCUGCAACGCAGUGGCUCGUAACAUCAGCCUCCCUCUGCUUUGUGCACCAUGCAAUCAUUCACAUGUUGUAAAGCAAGGAUAUAUCAGCAGGCCAGGAGGGAGCAUCUCACUUUACCUUCACUCUUUCUGAAAAAAUUCCAGGCAGGGGAAAAACAAUUUCACUGCCUCUGUAAUGUUGCUUUCACUUGGUGUCUAAAAAACAAUACUUCUCCUGUGCAAAAAUCCACUUUUUUGCCCAAAAUACAUUUUUAGAAUGUGCCAGACUUGUUCUCAGCUGUGGUGCUGACCCUGAUAUGCUUGUGCUGGCAUUGCUUGCAAUUGCUUCUGGUUGGUGUAGGGGUGACAAAGAGGAGACAGUGGGCCUCCACAGUUUUCCUGAAGUUCCCAUGUAAGCAGAGUAAGGUGACCUUCUACUGACGAAAUACAGCCCUUUUACCUUUUUACCUUCAGCAGACAGUUGGCAGACACAGCUGUUCUGCCUUUAGGUCCAGCUGCCACAUACCCUUAGAGAGGAGGAGGAGAGAGAGACUGGAGGGAAUAGGGGAAGGGGUAAGUACAGCUGAAAGGAGUGCUGCUACAUCUAUUUAUUUUUUUUUCCACUGCCAUAGGCGUGUGCUGUUUCUGUGCAUCUUUUAAUUUGUGCCAGGGUGAGAGAGCUGUAACUGACUCCAUCUGGCCCUCUCCCUUUAAUUACCUCACUGCCACAGUUUUUUCAUUUGCUAUUUGUUACUGGUCCACACCAUUUGCAACAGUGAACACUAUUGUAAGCAGUGGCUUCCGUUGCACAUAGGAAACAAGUGAUUAGUACACAUGGGUGGAAGGGUUGAGUGGCCAAUGCAUGAAAAGUGGUGGAAAGGGUUGUGAGGACAGUUUGGAAAAGGUGUUGGGAAGUCAGUGAGGAUAUGCAGGGGGAGAUUGCCAACUGCUGCUGCAGUGUCUCAGUAAAUUAUUCAACUAAUAAAGACUCAGUUCAAUUUUACA
rnacentral:lncRNA from 1 species